UACGAAGGGGGCUAGCGUUGCUCGGAAUCACUGGGCGUAAAGCGCACGUAGGCGGCUUCUUAAGUCAGGGGUGAAAUCCUGGAGCUCAACUGGGGAACUGCCUUUGAUACUGGCGAUCUUGAGUCCGGGAGAGGUGAGUGGAACUCCGAGUGUAGAGGUGAAAUUCGUAGAUAUUCGGAAGAACACCAGUGGCGAAGGCGGCUCACUGGCCCGGUACUGACGCUGAGGUGCGAAAGCGUGGGGAGCAAACAGG
rnacentral:rRNA from 1 species